GGUUGUGGCUCAGCGGUAGAGCGCUUGCCUCACACAUGCAAGACCCUGGGUUCGAUCCUCAGCACCA
rnacentral:tRNA from 1 species